rnacentral:rRNA from 1 species
AGGGAAACCGAGUCUUAAUUGGGCGUUAAGUUGCAGGGUAUAGACCCGAAACCCGGUGAUCUAGCCAUGGGCAGGUUGAAGGUUGGGUAACACUAACUGGAGGACCGAACCGACUAAUGUUGAAAAAUUAGCGGAUGACCUGUGGCUGGGGGUGAAAGGCCAAUCAAACCGGGAGAUAGCUGGUUCUCCCCGAAAGCUAUUUAGGUAGCGCCUCGUGAAUUCAUCUCCGGGGGUAGAGCACUGUUUCGGCUAGGGGGCCAUCCCGGCUUACCAACCCGAUGCAAACUGCGAAUACCGGAGAAUGUUAUCACGGGAGACACACGGCGGGUGCUAACGUCCGUCGUGAAGAGGGAAACAACCCAGACCGCCAGCUAAGGUCCCAAAGUCAUGGUUAAGUGGGAAACGAUGUGGGAAGGCCCAGACAGCCAGGAUGUUGGCUUAGAAGCAGCCAUCAUUUAAAGAAAGCGUAAUAGCUCACUGGUCGAGUCGGCCUGCGCGGAAGAUGUAACGGGGCUAAACCAUGCACCGAAGCUGCGGCAGCGACGCUUAUGCGUUGUUGGGUAGGGGAGCGUUCUGUAAGCCUGUGAAGGUGGCCUGUGAGGG